rnacentral:lncRNA from 1 species
UGUAAAAUACACAUUAAAAUAUGUUUUAAAUUAUCAUUCAGAGGGAAAAGUGUUCUACUUGUCUCACUGGUUCAAUGAAGAAGCUGCUUUUCAUCGAUUCUGUCCAUGUCAGAAAACUGGGCUGAACUGAAAGCAGCUAACACCAGAUUCAUCAUUUAGACAACCUGUCUUCUCUGUCUUGGAGAAGUUUUGAACUCAGUGACUCUAGAACCCAGACCUACACAAAGUGCUAGGAUUACAGGUGAGCGCCAUCACUCCC